rnacentral:lncRNA from 1 species
AUUUCCAAGGUAUAUACAGGACAGAAGGCAUCUAAGAACCCCAGCCUUCUUCAGCAGCAUGGAAGUAUCUGCAGAAAUGGCUUUGCCUGCAUCUUUUUGAGAAUAAGAGAAGCAGAGGAAGGUUAAACAUGCAAAUGAUGCUGCAAAAUUUAUUACUGUAGAUGCAUCUAAAUUCCCAGGCAACUGCUUUAGGGGACACCUGGCUACUCAGAAUCAAAGAAAGUAAGCAUGAAAAGAAACUGGCAGUGUCCCAGUAAACACACUAGUCUUGGGCUCCCUGCCUGAAAGAAAUCAGGCAACAUAGAAAGACGAUUUAAAGGCUCAGUUGCUAACCUCAGCCUGAGGAACCUUGUGUUGGCUGUCCUCACCACGUCUCAAGCUAGGCAUCUCAUGCCACGGAGGAGCCAAUAAAAGACUUCUUCGGAGGACAGUUUUGAACCGGAGAGCCUCCAACAUCUCAGAGAUUCAUGAACACAGUUUCGAAGAACAAUUAGGGGGCUCAAACCCAGUCCAAGGAACAAGAUGAAGAGAGAAAAUGCCAUUCUUCAUGCCAUACCCCUUCCCGUCUGAGAAGCUU